rnacentral:rRNA from 1 species
GACGUAGGGCGCGAGCGUUGUCCGGAUUUAUUGGGCGUAAAGAGCUCGUAGGCGGCUUGGCAAGUCGGGUGUGAAACCUCCAGGCUCAACCUGGAGACGCCACUCGAUACUGCCAUGGCUUGAGUCUGGUAGGGGAUCACGGAAUUCCUGGUGUAGCGGUGAAAUGCGCAGAUAUCGGGAGGAACACCAGUGGCGAAGGCGGCGACCUGGGCCAAUAUUGACGCUGAGGUGCGAAAGCGUGGGGAGCAAACAGG